rnacentral:lncRNA from 1 species
GUCAUGCAGGCUUCAGAAUGUAAGUAGGAAACAUGAGUAGUUUGUUUUUCAUUUUCCACACAUUUUCAAUUCAGAUUUACCUUAUAGAUAUUUGCACUGGGAGCAUCUACUGCCCUAAUUAGUUACGGAAGUUUCAGACUUUGGUUUCGAUUGUUGUUUGACCUUUGAUGUCGUUUCCUUAUUAUUGAGUUUUGGUUAACAUGCAAGGAAAUGGGUUUCACUGGACAUUCUCACACAUAGGCAUCCUACUCUGUUCUUAUUCGCCCCUUUCCCAUCUUUCUGGUCUUCUUCCUCCAUCCAACGAUCCCCUUCACUUUCAUCAGAGUGUGAAUUUUCCAUUGCUCCUUCCUGUUCCUCUGGGCAGGCCACCUUCCUUCCCUCUCAUAGUGACUUUCAGCAACCCCUAAGACACCUAGAUUUCACAUAGCAAAAACAGGUACUCUUUGUCUUCCUCAUAGACUUAACAAGAAAUAUUUUAGAAUAUUGUCCUUUCUGACAAUAGCAUAGAUUGUUACUUUUAAACGGAAGAUGAUUAACUUUUACAAAAUCUGAUUCGUAAUAAUUUUCUUGAGAAAUAUUUACUUCUUGCUGAAAAUAUAUGAGGAAGAUUUUUAAAUCUGUAUAAAUAGCAUGGCUGUGUAUACGUUAUAUAGGUUAUAUGUAACUCAUAAGACUUGCUCAGAAUAAUGUUAUAAUUUAAAAAUCAGGCAUGUUAUUUUAAGAUUCAACCAUAUAAUAUGUUGCUAGGUUUCUGUGACCGCCUUGAUCAGUGCCUUUGUAGUUUGUGUCUCUGACGGAAAGAUAAUACAAUAAAGUAGGCCUUUAAAGAUAAAGUUAGUGUGGAAAAGAAUUAAUGUGACAAAUAUUCAGAAUAAGACAAUCAGUACUAAAUCAGACAUGCGCAAGGCAAUAGAAACAUCAGCGCCGUUAAGUAGGCUUCCCUCUAUGGAGUAGCCUUCUAGCUGUUGGGCAGUUGUCUAAUACUGUCACUCUCCACACAUCACAGCACCUUACCAGUAUGCAAAAGAGGGCCUUCAAAUCUGAUUUUUCUUUGCACUACUCAUUCUUCCAGAGGGGAAUUUGGGGCUUUUCUUCAGUCUAGAUUAAGUCUAUAAUAUCUGCCAGUCCAUUUGCAUUUCUUCAGAAAACCAGUUUUAAAACUGAAGUGUGGAUCACUAAAAGCACUGGAAGCAGAGAGGGGGUAUCUUCUAGGAUGUAACUGAGUAGCAUAAGUACAAAGAACGAACCCCGUCCCUUCCUCUGUGCUAUCGGAAGGCAUAAUGCACUGGAGUGUCCCAUCAUGCAGAUGUAUGUUGGAUUUACCCAAUGCAAACUGGAACAGUAGUCGUAAGUCACACUGAGCAGGAAUGAAUGUCAUAUAAAGGAUUACUGCAGAGCACAGUAAGUAUUCUCACAAUAAGAGAAAUGAAGAGAAGAAAACCACACUGUCAGUUGUGCGGUGUUCAAGUAUGCCAUGGCUCUUUUAAUGCACAUGGUGUUCUUUAAGAUCUCUUUUCUAGUUGAGCAUGACAGUAAGAGACAAAAGACUAGAUUUAGGAAAGGUAAAUAGAAGAAACAAAUUAAGAAAGACAUCCCAAAUAGACUUUUCAAUUUAAUGAAUCACCUCUUGGGUGCGAUGAUAGAAUUGGUCUUGCGGUUCACCAACUUUAGAAUUCUAGAUUUAUUCUUGAGUAAAAGAGGCUUCUUGUUCAUCUACCAUACUCUUCUGGAGUUGGUAUCAAAGAUAUGUAGAUUGAUCUUCUGCUUACUGCUUACAUAGUGGAACCAAAGGGAAGGUAAAUACUGAUUUUACUUGUGGCGUGUAUGGAAGGAACAGCCAAGUUGUGAAGAGAUGAAGAAUACGAAGUUUGUGUUCCUACUGAAACUUGCACACUGAUCCUCUAUGUUAAUGAAUAGAUCAAUAGUUCUAAUUCUAUAUCCAUAUGGUCAGCUAAAAGCAUGAUAUUUUCAAUAGAUAUAUACAUACCUGUAUGUAUGCAUAUAACAUAAAUAAAUAAAUUAGAUGAAUAAAAAUAAGAGUAAUUGUAAUGAGGAGCUUGUUGAAGUAAAUUUAAAAAGCCGAAUGUCAAUUUUUACAUCAUAAACUAUCCUAGAUAUGUUUGAAUACUUUGUAUAGAUGCCGCUGGCUCUCCUGCAAUGCCGGAGUCUUUUGCACAGAUUAUUUGUGUCUUGGUUUCAUUGACUCUCUUCACUUAGCUCUGAACCAUCCUUUCUGGCAGGUGAACUAUGAUGGGGAACUACACAAGCACCCUCAGCUAGAAGCUGAUCUGUCUGCGGUGAGAGAGCUCUAUGGACCACAUGCAGUUUCUCUCAGGUAAAUGGCUUCCUGCUUCACCUUCCAUAAGCCAUUGGGAUUUUUUAUUAACAGAAAAUUCUUCUCAAUGAUUAUGUUUGAAAAUGUUUGAGGAAUUCUGUUUUGUUUCUCCUGAUGCAGAAGGACAGCUUUAUGGCUUUUCGUUCCAUAUUAUUUUAAAAGUCAGAUUAGCUGCAUUUAAGAAAUAAUUCCAUUUUGAGGAAUUAUUGCAAAACGAGCAAUCUCUAAAAGCUGUGGACAGACACUUGUGAUUUCAGGGCUCGGAAAGCUGACCCAGGAGGGUUGCCAGUCAUAAAGAGAUUCAGGACUGUGUAGCAGGUAGCAAGGCCCUUCAUC